AAACAGAGAACAGACGCGCUGCGAACGGCGCUGAAGACGGACGUGAGACGUGUUUUUCGUAAUCGCGCUAUUUACCCGUAAAUUUGUCGUGUUAUUAUGUUCGUUAUCUCCAGUUUUCUCAGUCUUCAGUGAUAAAUUACUCGCGAGUGUGAACGGAUCUAUAGAACAAAACGUUUUUUUUCGUGAUUUCGUGAUUCGGUGAAGGGAAGCAAGCCAGAAAAAAACAAAAGGAUCAUUUCGUGUGUGCAAGAGAUUCUUUUUAAUCUCGGUGUUUGCGCCACGUAGAUGAAAGUGUCCGAUAGUUUGUGGGUGACGAUUUAACGAGAGAUCAUUUCGUUGCCUGGUUGAACGCCGGCUGUUUUUUCUGAGGAUAAAUUAGUCAACAAGAGGAAGGAAAAAUGGGUUGCGCAUCGCAGUGCGCCAAGUAUUUCCUCUGUUUCUUCAACUUCGUCUUCUUCCUCGCUGGCGGAGCAGCUCUCACUGUUGGAAUAUGGCUGCUCGCCGACAGGAGUUCCUUCACGAAUCUCAUCAGCAAGGUCGACGAAGCCGACAUUUUGACAAAGACCGAUGCGGACGUGAUAAAGAUGAUAGCUUACAUUCUCAUCCUCGCAGGAGCCUUGACAUUCAUAGUCAGCUUCCUGGGUUACUGCGGCGCCAUGUUCGAGUCCAGAUGUCUUUUAUGCGUCUACGGCAUCCUUAUUCUGGUCGUAUUGGUUCUCGAGUGUAUCGUCGUUGGGCUUGCUUUUGGCCUCAAAGAAGACACCGAGAAGGGCACUCAAGACUUUUUGAAAUCAACGAUAAAAUAUUACGCCGCAAACGAGCAGAAAGCCGAAACCGUGACGGUCGCCUGGGAUGGAAUAAUGACGCAGAUGCACUGCUGUGGCGUUGAUAGUUUCCAAGACUUCCAGGACAGCGUUAACUGGGCGGGCAGCUUGAAAAUGGUACCGGAAGCCUGCUGCAAGAAAGAAAACGGCGUACUGAAAGAUCCCACAUGUCCGUUGGUUCCAACGCACGACAAUUCUUACUUUCAAACGGGUUGCUAUCAGACGUUGGUGAGGACGGUCGAGGAGAACGCGGCGAUAGUGAUUGGCGUUGCAGCUGCUCUCGUGUUCGUGGAGGUGCUCGUGAUCAUCAUGGCUCUUUAUUUGGCCUGCUGCUAUUGGCGACCCCAACAUGCUUGCGUAGACGUUUCGUCGAGACAAGCCUGGUGAAUCGGUGCUAUAAAUGCGGUGACGGUGAAUUGGGAAUGGCGGUAAAUAAGGGAGGAGAGUGUUAACUUGUUGGUGCUGCUGCUGACGUGGCGUUAAGAGCAUGGAUCUGUUGAGUAGUGCCUCCUAGCAUUCGCACGUUGAGAGCCCCUAGAGGUAUCCUGUGCCUUGCUUGCUUACAAAACCACACACACACAAAAAAAAAAAAAAGAAAAAAGAAAACAAAAAAAAGCCGAAAAACCAUGCUAACCGAAACUUGAGGGUGCCUGAAUGAGUCAGGCCCGAGUUUCAUCCUGGAAACGACUAAGAAAAUAAACACGAGAAUCUUUUACUCGAUAGUCUCAUUGGAUUGCAAUUAACGAAACAGAUCAAAGAGAAAUCGGAAAAAAAACACGAAAAUAUGAAUAAAUGUGACAGCACCGGAGUUCGGAUGAACGUGAGAUCUGAAAGUUCGCGCGUGGAUCAGCUUUGUUCACAUGAAUAAUGAGCCAGGAAUGAAGAAAACAUUGUAUUUAUGAAAAACACGUGAAAAAACAAAAAGCCAAUGUCGCGACUAUAAUUUUUGUGUAGUUAUAACAACAAUUUACUCAUUAUUGUAACCCCGGGACUCUGUGAUCUGUAUCACCCGACAGAUGUACGUACGUUUAUACAUACAUAUAUCUAUAUAUAUAUUUAUAUAUAUUUCUCUUUAACAGAGUUGUAUCUUGUGUAAAAUUAUUCCACUAAUAUCGGGAGUCGUCGUUGAAACGCAGUAGAAAUGCAAUUUUUUUUCCAUUAUCUACCAAUUCGUAGAUAUCAUUUUUUCUAUUACUUUAGACCGUGACAAAUAAACUGAAAAAAUGUUGGCGUUCAGUUUUCAUGAAUUUUCCACACCCAUAAAAAUUCUGAGCGUUCACAGGUAUAUACAAAAGUUUCAUUGCGUUCCAACGAUACCAAAUCCAAUAGCGUACAUAAAUAUAUAUAUAUUAUAUAUAUACAUACAUGUAUAUAUGUAGUUAUAUAUUGAUCAAAGUGAAAAAAAUUAGGCACACUUGUGCUCCGAUUAUUCUAGGAUUUCGAGAAGAUCGAGUGUCAAAGCGUAUGCGUGUUAAAUUAGCCAAGUAAUAUCUUCGGUGGUUUUACAACUCGCUUAGGUUACGUUUCCAAAAAAAUGCGGAUGCUGAUAGAUGUUUUUCUUUCACCCCCGGUCUGCAUGAAAUUGCACUUUACAAAUAUAAUGUAUUUAUUGGAUUUCUUAUUUCUUCUACCAUCUCUGUAGACGUCACUCUAUGCAACACUGGUAUUUUCGACGUACCUAAACAUGUACACAAAGAUGAUGAUUUUUUUGUUUUAAGAUCUUCGUUUCCAUUUCUCGUUUCAUUCCUUUAUGUAAGAUUUUGCAAUGGUAAUUGAAGAUGUCUCUAGAAUGUUGCACAAUUAACGUUUUCUUCUAGUGGUCUUUACUUGGUUUUUUUUCCACUGAUCGAAACUCGCACACUGUUCUAGAUGCGUAUGUGGAAAUAAAGUUGCUAAAUUGACUAAAUCUUUGUCGUUGGAUUAUAUCAAUUCAUAUCGUCUCGAAGUUGAAGUGUUCACAAAUUUACAAAAUACUGUUUAUUUUCUUUAUUCAUUUUUAUUUAAUUGCCACAUCGAGUCAAUUGAUUAGUUAAUAUUGUUUUCAGUUCUGUUUUUUUUUCCCCGAAAAUUCCGUUCAGAUUCAAAGCCGAAGAGUGGCUGAUGCGAAGAUUUUUUGUUGUUACGAUGUUUAAAAGUUCUAAAAUAAUUAGAUUUUGUUUUGUUUUGAUUUCUUUGACAUUCAUGAUAAUCUCAUGUUUAGAGAUGUACAAGACAAGAAAAACUUUGAAAUAAUUCAACCACUGACGUCUUCGCGUGUAUUUGAUAUAUAUUCAAAUAUAUUUAUUUCUAUUUAUCAUAAGUCACAAGUUGUAGAAUGUAAAUUAUUAACUUUUCUUCUGAUGAUACAAAAAUUGUUAAAGUCUAAAAAAAGUCUCAUUCAUUCGCGAGGGGAAAACCGACCUCGCUAUACAAACGAUGUCGUCACUGAGGUUAGGGUCGUAAAAAGAAAUAAGGAAUGCGCGUAUUAUAUGAAAUAUAUUCACAUCUUUAUACAGAGACUGAAAUCCCGACCUAAAAUGUAUAUAUUUUACACACGAAAAAAUAUUGAAAACAUGGAAAAAAAAAUAUAAUUAAAAUAAAAGUAAUACAAGUUCAAGAUCGCAUUAAGAUCGCUUAUAAACACGAUAUAAUUAGCGAUUAUAUGACAUAUAUAUAUUUACCUUAUGAUAACAAUAGUAUCAUUGAUUUGUUAAGGCUAUUGAAUGUUCUUUUGUAAAAACUGUACACAUUGAAUAAAUAUGAGAAAAAUUUUAUAUAUUCUUGAACGUGAUAAA